AAAAAAAAACAACGCGAUAUCUAACGUCGCGCAAUCCAAUUAUCUAAUUAAUAGGAAAUUCUUUCCGUUUUGUUGUCGGGCAGACGGGUAUUGGUGGGAACGCGCGCGCGUUAUAACGUAUUUGAAGUCGGACGAAAUUAAACUUAAACUUUCAAUUACAACGUCACAAUAAUGGUAAUCCAUUGCGUUAUUCGCCGGGCCGUGUAAAACGAAAAAAUAUAUACCGUAUUGGUAACUUUCGAACGGUAAUAUUGCGAACACGCACGUCAAAUGGUCAUAGUGAUUAUUAUACUUUCGUUGCGCUUAUUUAUACGAUUCCGGCAGAGGUACGUAUAGUACCUGCGCGGCUAUAUCACGUUUUUUAAUUUUCGGAUCGCGGCGCGUAUACCCACCGGCAGGUACCGUCCCGAGCGCCCGGUUUCGAAACUUUUCGUUAAUUAAUUAACGAUCGGGUACCUGUACGCAAUUAUUAUACCCGUUGCGGUUACUAUUCGCGGACAGAUAGUGCGUUAUCAAACGAGAAUUGUAUUGUACC